ACCACUUUUCAGAGAGAGAGAGAGGGAGAGAGAGAGAGAGAGAGAAGGAGAGAGAGAGAGAAGGAGAGAGAAGGGCAGACAAACUGAAUACAGCGAUCUAUAACAGGGUCGCAGAGAGCCUGGAGGCUAUCCCAGGGGACUCGGGGCACAAGGCAGGGGACACCCUGGACGGAGUGCCAACCGAUUGCAGGUGUAUGCCUUUGGACUGGGGGAGGAAACCGGAGUACCUGGAGGAAACCCCUGAAGCACGGGAGGAACAUGCAAACUCCACACACACAUGGCGGAGGAAGGAAUCGAACCCCCGACCCUGGAGGUGCGAGGAAACUAAUCAGAUAUUACAGAAAAUGCAAAAUAAAUAAAAGCAAAAAAUAAAACACCUGGACAUAUCUCUCCUGUAAAUGCACCUUCUAC